GAUGUCAUCACGAGGCGACGCCGCCGCUGGCCACGCGCACCCCGCGGCCCUCGGAGCCUUUGCAGGAGGCUUUGGUGGGGCCAAGUGGCUGCGCUGAGGACGGGGGAGAGGUUGUGGCGGCCCUCCCGCCCGAGAUUUUUCUGCGUUUAGGAUUUUUAGAGGCCCGGCCCAUGGUGGCGAGGAGGCCUUAGAGCUGCGGAGACGCGAGCAUGCGCACUGCCUGCCUGCCAGAGCGAGGGGAGGGGGAAACCUCCGCAUAGAGCAUGCGCCUUGCCUACCGGUGGAGGAGCGGAGUGCGGGAGGCCGGUCGGAGACAGGGUCUCCUUCUGUUGCCCAGCUUGGAGCGCACCUGUGUGAUCUCAGCUCACUGAAACCUCCGCCUCCCAAGUAGCUGGGAACACAGGUGCACGCACCACCACGCCUGGCUCAUAUUUUUUAGACAUUUUAAUUUUAUUCAGAGUCACAAAGUUAC
rnacentral:antisense_RNA from 1 species